AGCAUUUUAGAAUUAUGGCUGAAAUCACUGUCUUGUUGAUGCUAUCUCUGAUGUAUGUUAAAACAUACUAAAUAACAAAGCUGCUGCUUAGAAUACAUCUGGUUCUCCCACUACUUCACACUCCACAGUUACUUCACACUCCACAGUUAAUCUGAAUAAACAUGCCUACCUGUGGAGCUGGUCUUUCACCAAGAUAAGCGUUGACUGGUUCUUUCAUCUGUUAACAUCUACCUCUGUCUCUACUCCUACUAAAACAACCCCACCUCUGGCCGCUGAGUAUCUUCCUCCAGCACUUCUGCUCCACCAUUACAAGGCAGGCAACACUGUCGGGGCAGGAGGAGGUCUAGAUCCAGUUAGAAGGGGUUGUUAGGCUGAGGAAUUCUGCUUACUAUGGGAACAGUCUUUCAGUAAUAAUUCCCACAGGAAUAAGGUCAUCAGAAACAGAAUGUACGGUUUAUAAUCUCAGUUUGCUACUUUUUCAUCCAAAGCUGUGCUGUCCCAAAUCAUAGUCACUAGCCACAUGACUAUUUAAUUAAAAGUAAAAUUAAAAUUCAGUUCCUCAGUCACAUUAGCCACAUUUCAAAUGCUUAGUACACACAUCGCUAGUGGCUACCUGACUGGACACUGCCGAAAUAUAGAGUAUUUCUGUCAUCACAGAAAGUUCCACUGGACACCGCUGAUAAGCAUCUGAGCAUGAAAAACAAAGUAACAAUCAUAAUUCUUUUUAAAUUAAAAGACAUCCCAGUCUAUUCCAUCACUAUAUAAUCACUUACCAAAAGGGAAAAAUUCUAGUGUUCUUUUUGUUUGUUGUUUUUGUGACAAAAAAACUCUAUGAUAGCUUCCCACUUAAAGUAGAAAAGUUGGAAAACCAGAAAGCUGGAUAUGCAGGUAGCAGUUCCUUUAUUUUCAGAUGGAAUCUAUGAUAAAAACCUGUGACCACCUAUGCCAGCUUACCUGCUGCCAGACUGGGCUGGGCUGCCAGGAGGCCGUGCAGAUGUCACCUGCAGCAUAGAUGUCAGGAAGGGACGUGUGCAUGUGAUCAUCCACCUUCAGGCCACCGUCUUUUGCUACAUCAAACUAAACAAUGUUCCUCAUAAGCAUAUGAGUUACUCAGCACUUGGAACUUGCAGGAACGAGAAGCACAGCAGCACAGUGGUUAAGGGCACAGAUCUAGAGUCCCUGGCUCUAGCAGUUACUAACCAGGUGACCUUAGGCAAACUGCUUAACCUAUCUGCACCUCAGGUUCCCCAACUAUAAAUGGAAAUAAGAGGGAAAACUCAAAUGUUAGCUGCUUUAGAGAAACAACUACAAACCCUACUUCCUAUCUUGCCUAAAGCUCAUCUGAAGGUACUGUUAAUCAUGUGACACUGAGACUUCCCGACAUCUGAGACUGAGGUACUGCCUUUCCUGAGACUGUCUUAGUUUGGGCCUUAUAUCAUUUUGGACUAUUACAACCACCUUCUAAUUUGGUUGUUGGCUACUGGCCACCUGCUCUAUCCCAGUUCAUCCUUGACACUGCUGUCAGAUCCAUCUUCCUAAAAGAGUAUUUUAGCACUCCUGGCUCCACUUAGAAUCUCUUUACUAUUUUUACCACUGAUUAUAAAAUAAACUCAAUAUUA